rnacentral:tRNA from 1 species
CCUGGUAGCUCAGACGGUAAAGUGUCUGCUUGCAAUGCAGGAGAUCUGGGUUCGAUCCCCGGGUCAGGA